GGAACCGUGCCUGAAAUAAAGGGCCACUUUGAUAGAGUGAACCAUGGGGGUUAAAUUCCCCCCGGCUCCU
rnacentral:tRNA from 1 species